UUGAAUUAUUUAUAAAAGCUACGCACGCGAGAAGAAAUAGAAUCGACUCGUUGGAGUAGAUGGAGUAUGUCUCCUUCCAUUGUUUCGAAGUAGGUCGAUUCUAUAGCGUGGAUGAUUUAUACAACUCAAACAAAUCGUAUCUUUAGUUUCACUGAAGUUAAAUAAGAAUGUUCGGGAGGGUGGAGAUAAAUGAUAUAGGGAACCUAUUUCUUGUUUAUAAUUUCAAUUUUUUCGUAAGUGCAACGAUGUAAAUGUAAAAUGAAUUAUCAAGUUAUUUGGAAUAUUCUGCAAAAACAAAAAUAUGGGAAAUAGAAGCUAUUGAUUGUCUAAAGCCGAUUAGUUUAAAAAAUAUUUCGACUUUAGUCUUGUUAAUGUUAGCUUAUGAAAGUUAAGGAGCAUAGAAACAAAAGAGACUUCCUGCGGUUGCACGAAUCGUUCGCUAUAGUUAGAGCAUCCUUUUUUACUUUCUAAAUGUUCUGAUUACUUUAUAGAACGUGAAAGCAAUUGAAGUUCAUUUAAAGUUUGGAUUGUAAGGAAUCGAGCAUAAGAUCAAUCAUAAUAAUACCGAUUACAAAAUGUGAGAUAAUAGCUUCUGGUUAAUUUUCAAUGGCAAAUAUAAAUGAUAGGAAAGCCUUCGCAUAAUUUUAACUAACUAAACACACUCAGAAGUAAGAAUAUCUUAUUCUAUCUCGAAGCACCGUAUUAAAACACAGCUAAUUGAAUCUGUUCUCAUAACUUGUUUCUCCAUACCAUUACAAAAUCGACGUAUUAUUCAUUUAUAGCACUGCCAUUAUGUAAUUCGUAUUAAAUUAUACAUUUAUUAUUAUGUAAUGGCAUAUGUUAUAAUGUAGCCAUUAUCAUACUUUCAAUAUUCUCGUUUUUCAUCGAUUAGAAUUACUCAUAUUUUCUUUGACGAAGGCAGUUAAGUAGUUUUAUUGGAAUAUAAAUAUUACGAAUAAAUAUAUAUAAAUAUUAUCGUGCUCCUGAUGUGUUCUUUCACGAUAGAUUUUUCUUUAAUAGCGAACGCAAUAUACAGACGAAUAUAAAUAGGUAACUGAAAAGUUAAACAUUGUCCCAGAUUUCUACAAGUAUCUUGCUUUCCUUGAAGGAACCUAAUAUUUACAGUUUUCUAUAAUACAAAUAACAUUAUAAUAUUAAAUUUUUAGUUUGGUCUUCAUCACGCAGAACAGACGAUGCAAGCACCUAAAGAACGAAGUUCGUCAGAAUUAAUUAAACUUCAAGGAUAUAUGAUAGAUAUGUCACGUGCAGUCUAAUAAUGCUAAUCGACAAAUAAUUUUGCUUCUCUAUACAAAAAAGUGAUAUAUGAACUAGUCAGGAGACACACAUUUCAAUUUCAUAACUUACAAAGUCAGAAAAAUGACGAUAUUAUAAAUGUUAGUCUUUAAAAUUCACGUUGGAGUUUCGGUGCGCUACUCAGCUUCCGUGGUUUAUAUAUUUUCUAACAAGUUCUGGUUAGUAACUACGUUCCUGGGCAAUGGGAUUGGAAAAUAGACAAAAAUAGAAUCAAUCAGUUUGGUUUCGUGACUUCUCAGACUCAUACGUGUUUUCUUCCGGAAAUCAUUAUACCGAUACGAAAGAAUCUACAUAAUAUAUGAAAACUCUUUCUUUUGGAGCGCAUGGAAUUACCACGAUCAGAUUACGUUCAAUCUUUGAUCGAUCUUAACAUAUUAAUGUUCAUCGACUAAGGGUCGUUAAUUAUCGAUUUUCGCUUUAAUGUUAAUGGCAAUUGGCGUCGCUUAAAAAUUAUAUUUAAUCCAAUUAUGAUCACCUGACGAUUCAUCACUGAUGAUGAUAUAGCUGAAUUAGUUUUCUCAAUACCGUGAAUAGUAGUAUAGUAAUAAGCAGCAUUGAACAAAUUGAACCGGUGUCUAACUCCGUUGUGUUGAGAGCAAAAUGCGUGACCUGUUGGUAAGAUGAAUGAUUUAGAGCAGCGAUUCGUAACCUUUUCUUUGUCACGGAUCCUCCUUAAAUAAUCCCAGCAAUUAACUCAAAAUUGAAAUCCUUAAUGUGCCAAGGUAUGUAGCUAUAUUUAAAACGCUCAUCGACUGUCCAUUAACAAUUUUCAAAUUUGGAGGUGAGAAGCCCAUUAUAAAUAAAUGCAGGAAUGGAAUAUAACCACGCCAAAAGUGCAGAGUCUUGGAAUUGUCGAUGCCGAUGCCGAUACCGAUAUCGAAAUUGCGACGCGAGGCUUUAGUUCCUAGCAGGGACGACUCUAUGUGUACGUGUGAGUGGAUCGUGAGGUCAACGAAAAAACGGAAGAUAUCUUCGAUUGGCGUGUAAGAAGAACAUACGUGUUGAACUAUCCCUUUCUAUUUUGUUAUAUUAUUUUCAAAUCUUCUCUGCGCAUUUCUUACAUUUCUUACAUAAGUAAAUACAAAUACCAAAUAUUAUUUAUUCGGAUAAUAUAAAACGUUGCGUGUCUAAGGAUUUCGUGGAAUUGAGAAUCACUGAAUUACAGAAUAUCAAGAAUUAUAUAAGAAUACAUUGUUAUAGACCUUUGUUUAUUUCUUUCUCACAUACGAUUAGAUUAUAGAACGAUGAUCAUUGAAAAUGAUUCGAUGAGGUUUCUUUUUUUACUGUCGUGAUGUUGUGACAAAUAUGUAAUUUAUAGCCAUCGCGAACUAAUUUUCUUAGACCAUUUUGUCAUAUUUUUUUAUAAAUAUCCGUCUCAUCUUAGAGUUUCUAUAUCUUUAGAUCGGUGCUAUUAUAAUAAUUUUCGGAUCAUCAAUUCAAGAGAUAAAAGUUUCUACUUAAAACUCCAAUACUUUUGUUUACGCGCUCAGGUAUCUUGUCAGGAAUUAAAUGAAACGAGGGCAAUGGUCUUCCAAAUAUUUUCAUGCCACUCGUAUAUUCGAUCAAACGUCAACAUUCGCUCGUGCAAUCGUUACUCGUCUGAAAUUCAAAUAGAGCUUAACUUUCAAGGAUUGUUGGUCAAGCGAUAUUUAUUUGUUCGAAGAGAAAUCGGAAGAACUCAUUACUCAGACUCGUUUCCUACUUCUUAAAGAACGAUCAACAUGUUCACAACUUGUCUAGAGUCCAGUUGAUUGACUGUACGAUUUAUCGAACAAAGAAUAGAGCUGAGAUAAUGAAGAAUAUAUCGAAUAGAGAAUGGAAUUGUACAAAAAGAAGUGGAGGUAUUUACCAGUAUAAUCACUGGGUCGUGUAUCUAAGAAAUUAACAAGAUUUCCUCAGGUAUUUUGUCUCAAAAGUUUCCUGAAUUUUAAAAUGCAUAUAAAUGCGGGGAGAAACAACUAAUUUUUAAUGAGGUGUAUUGUCAUCGCUGGAUGAUUGUUAGAUAAUUGUUAGACAUAUAUUAGAUAUUUCACAACAGUAGAUAGUUGCUAAAUUGUUAAAUUCGAAGAAAUUGUCAAGUAUUUGUCUAUGUGUAGAUUAAGAGACAUACAGAAAGCAAAGCAAUUAAAAUAAUUUGACAAAAUGUAUAAUUACACGAAGAAAGUAUAUUAGAAAUCAUACUUUUUAAAUGACAUAAAUUUGCAUCAACUAUAUGAAUAUUGUAUAAGAUGGUGAAUUAAAUUUUCCGGAAAGAACAACUUUAAGAGAGAGGAAUUUUGUUUACAGAUAUUCUUUGUUUUGACAAGUGGGUGCAAAGAAUUUUAUAGAAUUCUCGUGCAGUAAUUUUCUUGAUGCUCAACUAUCCUUUAUACCUAUCCACACGGCAAUGAGGAAGUAAUCAGAAUCAUUAACAAACGACGACGUGAAAUCUCCAACAAAUGACUCGACCUAGUCUCAUGCUAGUUCGCUUGAAAAGUUGCUGCACUCAUCAAAAGCACUUCUGUCGACGUUAAAAUUAAUCAAAAGCAUCCACUGUUCAUUUUAAAUUUUCCUCCACUAAUCAACUUCAGAACAUUAUCACCAUUCUCUGAUACAAUCAGAAUGUAUUACAUUACAAAAGUCUCGUAGCUCAUCAUUCAUGCCCACUUAUAUACUUCACAUACAAUUCAAAAAAUUAACGGAGUUGAAAGAAGACUCUCAACAGACCUAAUUAAUCAUUGAUACAUUGAUACUGAAAAGUAUCAACUUCAGAUUCUAACUUUUCACCAAUAACUAAUUUUUCAACAUCAUCGCCAUUCAUUAAAAUAAAGGUAAUAUACAUUCGUCAAAUACAAAACUCGCCAUUGAAUUUUUUAUUACUCAUAAAUUAAACAUCUCGUAUACGACACGCUCAUUGAAAAUGUAGAAAAUUCAUCAAUCAUUCUUUCAAAAUCCACACGACAAUAGGAAACUGUGAAUGACACCGUGUUACUCAAAAGAUUCUAUCAUAAAUUUCCAGAUCCUUAUGACAACAUACACCGAUGUAUUUGGAUAUUUAGAAGCAUCCUGAUUCUACUCUAUUAAACUUCAAAAUCACUCGCAGUUUUUUUUU